UACGGGGGGGGCAAGCGUUGUUCGGAAUUACUGGGCGUAAAGGGUUCGUAGGUGGCUGGCUAAGUCAGACGUGAAAUCCCUCAGCUCAACUGGGGAACUGCGUCUGAGACUGGUCAGCUUGAGUGCAGGAGAGGAACGCGGAAUUCCAGGUGUAGCGGUGAAAUGCGUAGAUAUCUGGAGGAACACCGGUGGCGAAGGCGGCAUCCUGGACCGGUAUUGACGCUGAGGCGCGAAAGCUAGGGGAGCAAACGGG
rnacentral:rRNA from 1 species